rnacentral:rRNA from 1 species
AGUGAACGCUGGCGGUAGGCCUAACACAUGCAAGUCGAACGGCAGCACAGUAAGAGCUUGCUCUUACGGGUGGCGAGUGGCGGACGGGUGAGGAAUACAUCGGAAUCUACUUUUUCGUGGGGGAUAACGUAGGGAAACUUACGCUAAUACCGCAUACGACCUACGGGUGAAAGCAGGGGAUCUUCGGACCUUGCGCGAUUGAAUGAGCCGAUGUCGGAUUAGCUAGUUGGCGGGGUAAAGGCCCACCAAGGCGACGAUCCGUAGCUGGUCUGAGAGGAUGAUCAGCCACCCUGGAACUGAGACACGGUCCAGACUCCUACGGGAGGCAGCAGUGGGGAAUAUUGGACAAUGGGCGCAAGCCUGAUCCAGCCAUACCGCGUGGGUGAAGAAGGCCUUCGGGUUGUAAAGUCCUUUUGUUGGGAAAGAAAAGCAGCAGGUUAAUACCCCGCUGUUCUGACGGUACCCAAAGAAUAAGCACCGGCUAACUUCGUG